AUGCUAGAAAUCAGCAACGUCCAAAAGACUGACUCUGGCAUUUACUACUGUGCAUUUGAAUACAGCAGCUACCUGAUCUUUGGGAAUGGAUCCACACUGAUUGUUGGAGACAGUUAUACCAACAGCAGCUGGGUGAUGCUUCUGGUCUCAUUUCCACAUGGCAGUCACGUCACUGAGACAGCGAAUCUGGCUUGUGUGUUCCAUGGAGUGUCCAGCCCAGUCCACGUUUCCUGGAGUGUUUCUGGGGAGCUGCAGGAACAGGGGCUGACACACUCACUGAAAGCAAAGGAUGGAUCAUUAACGCUCAUAAAUCACAUCAGCGUCCCCAUGGACACCUGGACCAGUGGGAAGAAUUUCACCUGUGAAAUCAAGUUCAACUCUUCUGGCACCAGUGUGAAGAAAAGUACCAGGUAUCCUGCAGCCCAUCCCAGCGGCUGUGUGCCACAGACAGUGCGCUAUGCAGUGGUGAUUUUCCUGGUGGUGUUGAUGGUGUCUUUGAGCCUGGCCUGGAGUCACUGA